AGAGUUUGACUCUGGCUCAGGAUGAACGCUAGCGAUAGGCUUAACACAUGCAAGUCGAGGGGCAGCGAGAUGUAGCAAUACGUCGUCGGCGACCGGCGAAUGGGUGAGUAACACGUAUGCAACUUACCUCUUAGUGGUGAAUAACUCGAUGAAAGUCGAACUAAUACACCAUAUUCUCCUUAGAUCACAUGAGAAGAGGAGGAAAGAUUAAUCGCUAAGAGAUAGGCCUGCGUUCCAUUAGCUCGUUGGUAAGGUAACGGCUUACCAAGGCAACGAUGGAUAGGGGGACUGAGAGGUUGACCCCCCACAUUGACACUGAGAUACGGGUCAAACUCCUACGGGAGGCAGCAGUGAGGAAUAUUGGUCAAUGGGCGAGAGCCUGAACCAGCCAAGUCGCGUGAAGGAAGACUGCCCGCAAGGGUUGUAAACUUCUUUUGUAUGGGAUUAAAGUCGUCUACGUGUAGACGUUUGCAGUUACCAUACGAAUAAGCAUCGGCUAACUCCGUGCCAGCAGCCGCGGUAAUACGGAGGAUGCGAGCGUUAUCCGGAAUUAUUGGGUUUAAAGGGUGCGUAGGUUGCAAGGGAAGUCAGGGGUGAAAAGCUGUAGCUCAACUAUGGUCUUGCCUUUGAAACUCUCUAGCUAGAGUGUACUGGAGGUACGUGGAACGUGUGGUGUAGCGGUGAAAUGCAUAGAUAUCACACAGAACUCCGAUUGCGCAGGCAGCGUACUACAUUACAACUGACACUGAAGCACGAAAGCGUGGGUAUCAAACAGGAUUAGAUACCCUGGUAGUCCACGCAGUAAACGAUGAUUACUAGGAGUUUGCGAUACAAUGUAAGCUCUACAGCGAAAGCGUUAAGUAUUCCACCUGGGGAGUACGCCGGCAACGGUGAAACUCAAAGGAAUUGACGGGGGCCCG
rnacentral:rRNA from 1 species